GGACAGUGCUUUGGUGUAUCCCAAAACUCCUCAGUUUCUCCACCAGGAUAUCAUGGGGCACUUUGUCAAAGGCCUUGCUGAAAUCCAGGUAAACCACAUCCACUGCAUCCCGUCCAUCUAUUCACCUCAAAAUCUUGUUGUAGAAUUACACAAGGUUUGUCUGGCAGGACCUGUUUUUGCGGAAGCCGUGUUGUGUGGCUUAGAUAGGGAAGGCUUCC